AGCGAACGCUGGCGGCAGGCCUAACACAUGCAAGUCGAGCGCCCGUAGCAAUACGGGAGCGGCAGACGGGAGAGUAACACGUGGGAACGCGCCCUUCGGUUCGGAAUAACUCAGGGAAACUUGAGCUAAUACCGGAUACGCCCUUACGGGGAAAGAUUUAUUGCCGAAGGAACGGCCCGCGUCCGAUUAGCUAGUUGGUGAGGUAAUGGCUCACCAAGGCGACGAUCGGUAGCUGGUCUGAGAGGAUGACCAGCCUCACUGGGACUGAGA
rnacentral:rRNA from 1 species